GCCGGAUUAGCUCAGCUGGUAGAGUACCUGUUUUGUACUCAGGAUGUCGCAGGUUCAAACCCUGUAUCCGGCUCCA
rnacentral:tRNA from 1 species